rnacentral:rRNA from 1 species
UACGUAGGGUGCAAGCGUUAAUCGGAAUUACUGGGCGUAAAGCGUGCGCAGGCGGUUUUGUAAGUCUGUCGUGAAAUCCCCCGGGCUCAACCUGGGAAUUGCGAUGGAGACUGCAAGGCUGGAGUCUGGCAGAGGGGUAGAAUUCCACGUGUAGCAGUGAAAUGCGUAGAGAUGUGGAGGAACACCGAUGGCGAAGGCAGCCCCCGGGUCAAGACUGACGCUCAUGCACGAAAGC